AGUGAACGCUGGCGGUAGGCCUAACACAUGCAAGUCGAACGGCAGCACAGUAAGAGCUUGCUCUUACGGGUGGCGAGUGGCGGACGGGUGAGGAAUACAUCGGAAUCUACUUUUUCGUGGGGGAUAACGUAGGGAAACUUACGCUAAUACCGCAUACGACCUACGGGUGAAAGCAGGGGAUCUUCGGACCUUGCGCGAUUGAAUGAGCCGAUGUCGGAUUAGCUAGUUGGCGGGGUAAAGGCCCACCAAGGCGACGAUCCGUAGCUGGUCUGAGAGGAUGAUCAGCUACACUGGAACUGAGACACGGCCCAGACUCCUACGGGAGGCAGCAGUGGGGAAUAUUGGACAAUGGGCGCAAGCCUGAUCCAGCCAUACCGCGUGGGUGAAGAAGGCCUUCGGGUUGUAAAGCCCUUUUGUUGGGAAAGAAAAGCAGCAGGUUAAUACCCCGCUGUUCUGACGGUACCCAAAGAAUAAGCACCGGCUAACUUCGUG
rnacentral:rRNA from 1 species